GAUGAACGCUGGCGGCGUGCCUAAUACAUGCAAGUCGAGCGAACGGACGAGAAGCUUGCUUCUCUGAUGUUAGCGGCGGACGGGUGAGUAACACGUGGAUAACCUACCUAUAAGACUGGGAUAACUUCGGGAAACCGGAGCUAAUACCGGAUGAUAUUUUGAACCGCAUGGUUCAAAAGUGAAAGACGGUCUUGCUGUCACUUAUAGAUGGAUCCGCGCUGCAUUAGCUAGUUGGUAAGGUAACGGCUUACCAAGGCAACGAUGCAUAGCCGACCUGAGAGGGUGAUCGGCCACACUGGAACUGAGACACGGUCCAGACUCCUACGGGAGGCAGCAGUAGGGAAUCUUCCGCAAUGGGCGAAAGCCUGACGGAGCAACGCCGCGUGAGUGAUGAAGGUCUUCGGAUCGUAAAACUCUGUUAUUAGGGAAGAACAUAUGUGUAAGUAACUGUGCACAUCUUGACGGUACCUAAUCAGAAAGCCACGGCUAACUACGUGCCAGCAGCCGCGGUAAUACGUAGGUGGCAAGCGUUAUCCGGAAUUAUUGGGCGUAAAGCGCGCGUAGGCGGUUUUUUAAGUCUGAUGUGAAAGCCCACGGCUCAACCGUGGAGGGUCAUUGGAAACUGGAAAACUUGAGUGCAGAAGAGGAAAGUGGAAUUCCAUGUGUAGCGGUGAAAUGCGCAGAGAUAUGGAGGAACACCAGUGGCGAAGGCGACUUUCUGGUCUGUAACUGACGCUGAUGUGCGAAAGCGUGGGGAUCAAACAGGAUUAGAUACCCUGGUAGUCCACGCCGUAAACGAUGAGUGCUAAGUGUUAGGGGGUUUCCGCCCCUUAGUGCUGCAGCUAACGCAUUAAGCACUCCGCCUGGGGAGUACGACCGCAAGGUUGAAACUCAAAGGAAUUGACGGGGACCCGCACAAGCGGUGGAGCAUGCGGUUUAAUUCGAAGCAACGCGAAGAACCUUACCAAAUCUUGACAUCCUUUGACAACUCUAGAGAUAGAGCCUUCCCCUUCGGGGGACAAAGUGACAGGUGGUGCAUGGUUGUCGUCAGCUCGUGUCGUGAGAUGUUGGGUUAAGUCCCGCAACGAGCGCAACCCUUAAGCUUAGUUGCCAUCAUUAAGUUGGGCACUCUAAGUUGACUGCCGGUGACAAACCGGAGGAAGGUGGGGAUGACGUCAAAUCAUCAUGCCCCUUAUGAUUUGGGCUACACACGUGCUACAAUGGACAAUACAAAGGGCAGCGAAACCGCGAGGUCAAGCAAAUCCCAUAAAGUUGUUCUCAGUUCGGAUUGUAGUCUGCAACUCGACUACAUGAAGCUGGAAUCGCUAGUAAUCGUAGAUCAGCAUGCUACGGUGAAUACGUUCCCGGGUCU
rnacentral:rRNA from 1 species